rnacentral:rRNA from 1 species
AGUGAACGCUGGCGGCAGGCCUAACACAUGCAAGUCGAACGGCAGCACAAGAGGGCUUGCUCUCUGGGUGGCGAGUGGCGGACGGGUGAGGAAUGCAUCGGAAUCUGCCCAUUUGUGGGGGAUAACCUCGGGAAACCGGGACUAAUACCGCAUACGACCUACGGGUGAAAGCAGGGGAUCUUCGGACCUUGCGCAGAUGGAUGAGCCGAUGCCGGAUUAGCUAGUUGGAGGGGUAAAGGCCCACCAAGGCGACGAUCCGUAGCUGGUCUGAGAGGAUGAUCGGCCACACUGGAACUGAGACACGGCCCAGACUCCUACGGGAGGCAGCAGUGGGAAAUAUUGGACAAUGGGCGCAAGCCUGAUCCAGCCAUGCCGCGUGGGUGAAGAAGGCCUUCGGGUUGUAAAGCACUUUUGUUGGGAAAGAAAAGCAGCCGGUUAAGACCCGGUUGUCAUGACGGUACCCAAAGAAUAAGCACCGGCUAACUUCGU